rfam:Solanum tuberosum cultivar DM 1-3 516 R44 scf00016_201, whole genome shotgun sequence.
UUAAAGAAUUUGAAGACCUCAACUUGCAGACUUGGAGGACUUUGAAGACUUUAAUUUGCAUACUUAGAGGAUUUGAAGACUUCAACU